rnacentral:lncRNA from 1 species
AACCUUAAGCAAAAAUGACUCCUUAAACUUUUGGAAAAGCAUGUUUUUGAAAAACUUGAGUCUAAGUUUGGGGGUCAUAUUACUUAUUGGGAACGUGCGGUGAUUAAGCCGUAGCACCCCUCUAAGCCUGUAUACCAACAGUCUACUAAACGAAUAGAGGGAAUUAUGACAAUUGAUUAAUUAAUUAAUCAAGGAUACCAAAAAAAGAACAACAAG